CAUUACUGGGUCACCGAGCGCUUCGGCGUUCACCCCCACCCUUCUGUCUACCGACUAGCUUCGGCUCGAGGCUGGCCUCCGAUGACUCGGGGGCCCGCCGGCCGAGAAUCAACUCUGAACAACAUUGCAGACUGAAGUAACAAGCAAAUAGUUAAAACUUUCAACAACGGAUCUCUUGGUUCUGGCAUCGAUGAAGAACGCAGCGAAAUGCGAUAAGUAAUGUGAAUUGCAGAAUUCAGUGAAUCAUCGAAUCUUUGAACGCACAUUGCGCCCCUUGGUAUUCCGAGGGGCAUGCCUGUUCGAGCGUCAUUACAACCCUCAAGCCUGGCUUGGUAUUGGGCUCCGCCACUCACCUGGCGGGCCUUAAAAUCAGUGGCGGUGCCGUCGAGGCCCUGAGCGCAGUAAAUGUCCUCGCUAUAGGGACCCGGCGGACGCUGGCCAUCAACCCCCAACUUUCUAAGUUUGACCUCGGAUCAGGUAGGGAUACCC
rnacentral:rRNA from 1 species